rnacentral:rRNA from 1 species
CCUACGGGAGGCAGCAGUGGGGAAUAUUGCACAAUGGGCGCAAGCCUGAUGCAGCCAUGCCGCGUGUGCGAAGAAGGCCUUCGGGUUGUAAAGCACUUUCAGCGGGGAGGAAGGCGGUGAGGUUAAUAACCUCAUCGAUUGACGUUACCCGCAGAAGAAGCACCGGCUAACUCCGUGCCAGCAGCCGCGGUAAUACGGAGGGUGCAAGCGUUAAUCGGAAUUACUGGGCGUAAAGCGCACGCAGGCGGUCUGUCAAGUCGGAUGUGAAAUCCCCGGGCUCAACCUGGGAACUGCAUUCGAAACUGGCAGGCUAGAGUCUUGUAGAGGGGGGUAGAAUUCCAGGUGUAGCGGUGAAAUGCGUAGAGAUCUGGAGGAAUACCGGUGGCGAAGGCGGCCCCCUGGACAAAGACUGACGCUCAGGUGCGAAAGCGUGGGGAGCAAACAGGAUUAGAUACCCCUGUAGUC